AUAGUAGAAUAUUGCAGUUCUUUCAAUAUGCAUUAUUUACAGUUUUGGAUAUUUAUCUAUCUAUCUAUCUGCUUAUGCCUGCUUAGACCUAGUGGGAUGAUCGGCGGAGUCGGCGGCCGAACCCACUGGGAACUAUGGAAGAUAGUUCUCACCCCAUUUCAUUUCAGGGCUGAGUGCGGGCGCGCCGGGCGAGGAUCGCGGCAAAGGCAUUGCGCCCGAGCAAUAGCAUAGUAGCUUCCUUUAUGCAUUAGAGCACCAUUUUGUAUCUAGAUGCUUUAUGUUUUUGGAAGAGCUAAUGAUGUAAUUGAGAUGAAUAUAAUUAUCCAUUUUGCAAGUUAUAAAUAUAAACUUGAUGU
rnacentral:lncRNA from 1 species